GAUGAACGCUGGCGGCGUGCCUAAUACAUGCAAGUCGAGCGAACAGACGAGGAGUUUGCUCCGCGGACGUUAGCGGCGGGCGGGUGAGUAACACGUGUAUAACCCACUUAUCAGACUGGGAUCACUUCGAGAAACCGGAGCUAAUACCGGAGAAUAUAUUGAAGCGCAUGGUGCGUUAGUGAGAGACGGUGGUUGGGUCACGUAUAGAUGGAUCCGCGCUGCUUGGGCGAGUUGGUAAGUUAAAGGCUUACUAAGGCAACGAUGCGUAGCCGACCUGAGAGGGUGAUCGGCGACCCUGGAACUGGGCCACGCACCAGAGUCCUACGAGAGGCAGCAGUCGGGAAUGUGACGCAACGGGCGAAAGCCUGACGGAGCAACGGCGCGUGAGAGAUGAAGGUGUUCGGAUCGUAAAGCUCUGUUAUUAGGGAAGAACAACUGUGUAAGUAACUAUAGACGUAUUGACGGUACCUAAUCAGAAAGCCCCGGCUAACUACGUG
rnacentral:rRNA from 1 species